ACUCUUGACCCCGGUAUCCAAAAUGUGUGGAAUUCAUGAUCAGAGAAUCCUGAUUCUCGAUCACAGAAUCUCAAACAUGAAAUACUCUUCAUCAGCUAUCAGAUCAGAUAGGAACCUCUAAUGUGUGUGACCCCGCAGGUUCGAACCUAAGCUGAUAGCACAGGAACCAAUUCCUGUACUAAUCGAAGUGACCAUCUAGCAAUGGUACUCGA
rnacentral:lncRNA from 1 species